UUUGGAGGGCACUUCAAAAGUUAGCGAGAAAAGGGAGACUGUCAAAAUCAAAUAUUCAAUCAUGACCAGACCGACCGGAUGUGGUUAAAAUUUUAUUUAAUUCGCAACUAACUACUAGCACUUGUCUGGAAUAAAACUAGUAAGGUCGUGCUUCACAUGCUCACGUUUCUAGAUGUUUGUCUAUCUUACUCAGCGUUAAUUAUACCCAUGCUAAAUGUACUAGAAAAAGCAAGAACUCCAAAAAAUUCUUAAAAAAAACAUCAUCAUUCACAGCAAGAGUCGUCAGAUCUAAUCCACUUCAAAAAUCACCCACCUAAAUCAUAUGAAAAGGUCAGCAUAUAUAUACCUACUUAUAAAUUACCAACAUCUACCAUUAUAAAAAAAUUCAAAAACUCAUAUACUUUCUUGUAAAUUAUCCGAUGUGCCAUUACAAAAUAAACCCGGCCAAAGUGUCGAUGCGUUGCAUCGUUCCACACGCUUAUUUUCACCUUCAUUAGUUUAACUCUUAUAUAUACUUCCUCCAUAUCGAAAUACCUGUCAUUCUUGACUUUUUCUUGCAAUAUUUGGCCAUUCAUCUUAUUUAAAAUUUUGUUGCAAAUAUACGAAA
rnacentral:lncRNA from 1 species